CCGCAUCAGACUGAAACACUAGUUCUCAUAUGAUCACUGAAGUUAAACAAUGUCGAGCCUAGUUAGUACUUAGAUGGGUGACUGCUUGGGAAUAUCAUGUACU